rnacentral:rRNA from 1 species
GACGAACGCUGGCGGCGUGCCUAAUACAUGCAAGUAGAACGCUGAAGAGAGGAGCUUGCUCUUCUUGGAUGAGUUGCGCACGGGUGAGUAACGCGUAGGUAACCUGCCUUGUAGCGGGGGAUAACUAUUUGAAACGAUAGCUAAUACCGCAUAACAAUGGAUGACACAUGUCAUUUAUUUGAAAGGGGCAAUUGCUCCACUACAAGAUGGACCUGCGUUGUAUUAGCUAGUAGGUGAGGUAAUGGCUCACCUAGGCGACGAUACAUAGCCGACCUGAGAGGGUGAUCGGCCACACUGGGACGGAGACACGGCCCAGACUCCGACGGGAGGCAGCAGUAGGGAAUCUUCGGCAAUGGGGGCAACCCUGACCGAGCAACGCCGCGUGAGUGAAGAAGGUUUUCGGAUCGUAAAGCUCUGUUGUAAGUCAAGAACGGGUGUGAGAGUGGAAAGUUCACACUGUGACGGUAGCUUACCAGAAAGGGACGGCUAACUACGUG